CGGGGGAGGCCGGAUCCUGGGCUGUGUCCCGGCGCUCUGGGCUCCGGAGCCUGCGCUGUUGGAUUCGCGCUCCCGGCCGGCAGCCCCCU
rnacentral:pre_miRNA from 1 species